rnacentral:lncRNA from 1 species
GACUCGAUGGUAGAAAACUGAUACAACUUGAAUUUCUUCAGUACAUGACCAUCAAUAAAAAUCCAUAAUACAUGAGUGAGGGAUUUCAUGAAGUACAUGGUCAUCAUAAUAUCUAUCAUGAAUAGGAAUGCUUAUAAUCAAGUCAUAAAUCUCAUAUUCUAAUAUCAUGGGCAUUCCAACAACAUAUACUAUUCAUAGCAAUCGCGUGGAAACCAUUCAAGCGUAAGGGAAUGACAGCAUGUAAUGUUUAGUUCAUAUUGUAAUGAUUUGGGGAUAUUAUACUUCAUGUAUUUAUUCAACAUCUCAAACAUGGUAGGGAAGCAUGGAUAUAUUUUGUGUACAUAAUUUAUAUCUCCAUUAUCAUACAUGCUUUAUACCACAACAAUAACAACACAUAAUUUGAAUGGAAAUUCAUAUUGGAGUGUAUGACUAACAUGAACUUGUUAUUUAGAUAUCCUAAAAUCAUGUAAAUAUGAAGUUCUAACAUACUAGGCAUUUUAUCAAACACCUUGCAUGCAUUCUUUAAGGCAUAGGUGGAUUUCAUACUUGCAUUCUAUCAAUCCAUCUAAAGAUCAAGUUUUUAAACUAACAACAUAAGUUUCAUGAGAAAUACAGUCACGAUACUAUUAUAUAGAAAAACAAACAAGUAUCAACAUGGGUAUGAUCAUAUCACCACAAUCAACCAAGCUUUUGUAUUUUAAAGAUUGAUCAUUGAACUCCACGGACGAAAGGAAUUCGUGGAUGAACACUACUCAUACCUUGGAAGGGAGGUUCUUGAUGAUUGACGGAGGAAUUUCCUUGAAAUUGGAUCUUCAAGCUUAAUUAUCCAACCCUAGUUGUUUUUCUCUUUUAGUGCUCUUGGAUGAUGAUCUUUGAGAUGUUAAUAGGGUUAUAAUGUGUUUAGAAGCUAUAUAUUUCGUAGGGUUAAGUUUAGGGAUGUGUAAGGAGUGUUAAAAGACUUAAUUACCCUCAAAAUAACUCAAAUCAGAGUGUUUUUGGCAUUGGAACUAUCUUAGGCGGCGCCUAACCAAUCACCUAAGUUUGGUUAGGCGGCGCCUAACCAAUCGCCUAUCCUUACUGUCUCUCACGAAAAUGGGCAUAAAUUUUUGCUCGAGCAUUGGAUUAAGGCAAAAUUGGUAUCAUUGGAAAUCUAAUUCAAUUAUUUACAAUUUGAAGGGUAUAAAUCAGCCAAAAUACCACAUUAACAUUAAGUUAUACUCGUUCAAAAAUGACGCUUGAAAAAUCGAACACUAUAACUUGAUGGAUUCAAAAACUUUUAUCUUGUAUUACCUUAAGUGACUCAUAUGAACAUGCUUAAUGUAUCAUAAGCUAUCUUAUCUCUAGGAUACUCAUUUUAAGUCAUGCACUAAAAUGCUACUCACAGGAUAGGAGGUUUCAUACUUAGGAAAAAUGAUUUGUCUCCUAGCUUAGAAAUAUAUGGGGUAUUACAAUAUCUCCCCCGUGGGAACAUUCGUCAUCGAAUGGAAAUAAACUGAAGUGGGAGAGAUGAUAAGAUGUAGUACGUACAAGAAAUACACUACUAAAACAUGGGUUCAUGACUGGCAUGACUGAAACCUAAGCACAACAUACUGAACAUGUAUAUCUGAUGCAUGGGAAGCUGAUUAUGAAUAUAAGACUGAGGAUUCUAAUAAAGUAAGUUUUCUCAAAAUGAGAAUGCAUAUCUGAUGCACAACUGAAAGGUUGAAUCCAUGCAUAUCUGAUCCAUGAUUAUAUGACUGACAUAAUACGUGAAUGCAUGACUGAAAGUACUAAUGAGCUUAUCACACAUAUCUGAUGCGUAAAUUCAUGACUAAACUUACUCAUGAACAUGCAAUGGUAAAGGUAUCAAGUUUGAACUCAAAACUGAUCAUGGAACUAAAUACCAAGUUUGGCACUGAAAUAUGAACAUGAGAACGAGUAAGUUUAAGGAAAACUGUUACCUUGAACUGAUAAUACCGAUAAGUUUGAGAUUAAUUAAUCCAUAUGCAUGAUCGGAAACAUGAGAACAUAACUAAGUCUGGGACAUGGUAGAUAUACUGAAUAUCAUCAUCUAAACUUAAUCUUGAAAACAUGGCAUACUACUGAAGUUGGAGUUUGAGGGUUAACUUAUGAAUACCCCUUCUCCAAACUUGAUUCAUCAAAAGAAAAUAAAGCAGCAUGUUUAUGUCAUGAAAUUUUAGGAGUAUGAUGUCCCCUUGGGACACUAUGUCCCUCAAUGGAUACUGACUUGGAUGAGCUACUGAGGGAAAUUGAGGCGAUGCACAAGACAACUAGGAACUGAGUCAUGACUGAAUAGCUAGGAUCUGAAAUUGAGACAUGAUACAUGAACUGAGCUGAACACGAGUUCAUAAAUAUACUAACUUAUCUGAUUAACUAAAUAACUAAUAGCUGAAUACUGGAUCUACAAAGCUAAACUGUACUUAGUCUAAAUAGCUGGGCUGAGAUUUUUGAGUUUUAUGCAUAGGAGAUAAGGAAUAAGUAAGUAGAAUGAGGUAUCUGAGCAUGGAUUCAUGAAUUCUGUAUUAUUUUCAAAUGCAAGACCAAGUGUAUGACAUGGCUCUGAGGUAUUCUAUAAAUUGAGGUACUGAAACAUUGAUAACUGAGUACUGAUAACCUGAAUGCUAUGGUCAAGCAUGUCUGGAACUGAACUGAGUUUCAAAUCUGGUUACUAAACUAAAGAUGACAUUAUAAGUAAGCCUAUAGCUAGUACAGAAGUACUGAAUUCAAGGACUGAACACUGAUCACUAAGUGCUGGAUGCUGAAACUAUAAUUGAGUUGGCAACUGAGUUUUUGAUGGGUACAUAUUGGGGAUUGACAUAAGUCAAGGAUCUAAAUGUACACUUACACUUUGUACUUUCCCAACUUCUAAAUACGACCCCUUGCUAGAUGUUUACUUGAACAUUUAUCAUGACAUUCAAGCCUAUCUGCACAACUACACCCCCGUGCAAAGUAAGCAUGCAACAAUCUUCUCUUAUCUAAACAACUGCUCAUCACUACACUGUUCCAUGAGGAGAGCUAACUAGAGUAGUAAAUCAGGAGGACCUGAAACAUGAAUAGGUACAAACUAAACUUGACACAUGACUGAAAAUUGAGGAAUAAAAUAUUAGUAGUUUGGAUUUACCAAUAAGGUCUGAAAUGAAGAUAUACAUGACAUAGUCUAAAUGUAUCUGAUCUGUAGGGGCAUAGCAUGAGUCAUGGAAGCUAAGUAUACUGUAAAUCAUGAUAUGCGUACAUGAGUCAUGAGCUGUAUGACCUGAGUUCAGAGUUUUCUAUACUCGUGGGACAUGAUUUGAAUACUGAGGGAGCUGGAACCGAACCCCUUAUAAUUGGAAUUGAAGGCGCACAUAAUCCCAUGGAAAGUGUAUGAAAGUAUAUUAUUCUCAUGGAACAUGACUCGUACUGUGGAGUAAAAGGGACUCCUUAUGCUGGAAAUUGAAUUCAUACAUGAUUAUAGUUCGUGACCAUAGAGUUGGUAUGCAAUGCCUGAGUUGGUUUCAUGAUAGCCGAAGUGAAAAACUCUGCACUGAAAUGAGAAUGGGUCUGGAAUUUUCUUCCCUUACUGCUUUCUAUACAUACUGGCUCUACUACUGAAAUCUGAGGACCUGUCUUAGGUACUUGAUCUACCAUCACAUACCUACAUUAUGUUCAACACCUGUCUAUCUUACCAAAUACAUCAUCUAAUUCUAUUUCCUCAUAUACUGCUAAUAUCACAUUCACACCUUCAUGCUUAAUUUUGAGUCAAUAAACUUAAGUGUUUAGCUCAUACUGUUUAAGACUACUGAUCUAAUCCCCAUGAAUACAUAAUCUGAUCAAAUAGAAUAAUACUAUCCCAACUCUACUACUGCUAAACUUCUGGGUUCAAGAAUAAGUUCUCAUGAUCAUGAAUAAAAUCUGUACGGCCUUGGAACAAUAAUGAACUGAUGGGAUACUCUUUGAGUCUGUUGCUAAUCUUAUAAUUGACCAUAGGGACUGUCUGAGAAAGCCCUAUCUUUAGGACUUUGAAAUUCACUAUUUCUAUUACCUUGAAAGUAAGGUAAAGUGAACAUGAGGGGUGCAUGAUAUGAAUCUACAUGGUUUCCUUAAAGAAACAUGCCAUAGCACGAUCUUGAGACAUGAAAGAAGGGAAACUGUUCCUAAAACAUCUCAUAGCCUCCUGUACAUAAGUGUGGUGCACAACACGCCCAUGUACAAGACUCUACUUCAUGUAGCUUUUAGACUUCCUAGGACACUGUGAACCUUAGGCUCUGAUACAAAGUUUGUAAUGCCCCGAUUUUUUGAAAUGAAACGCUACACGGUGCUCAUGACCUUGAAGGACACAAAGCUAACCCAUGAAUGAUAUUUGUACCUGUAAACUGCAUAAUAUCUCAUAAAAUAUGCGGAAACAUGAAUUGUAGGGCCAUAAGGUUCACUACUACUAUAUAUUUGAAAAAUAUAGUAUAUCAAUACCAAAAAGGAACAUAAAUACUGAAGUUUGAAUAUCUAAUCUGACAUCUAGUCCAAAAGCCUCUAACUGAACUGAAUAAGGAAUUGAUGGGACAUGUCCCCAACUAACUCCAACUACUGAAAUAAAGUGAAAAUUGAAAUAGAAAUGAAAUCAUCAUGUUCUCGAAGGAUGAGGACUCACGUCUAACUCUGACUGCUGAUCCUGGAAUCUAAUAUUGAUUUGGAGCUCAUGCCUCUGAACCUAUGGUGUAACAUAAGAGAAAGUACCAUAGCGCAAGUGCAUUAGUACGUCUGAAUGUACUGAGUAUACGAUUUAGGUAGGCUAAAUGCAAAGGGUUAUAUGCAUGGACAAUAAUGACUGAUAUAAAUAUGAGAGUACAUACAUGCAUACAUAACAGUAAUUGAACUCAUAGAGAUACAGACUACUGAGUUUGAAUACUGACAACAUGAGCGUACUGAUAAUGAGAUUCUGAAAGACUGAGUUUACUGAUAUUGAUAUGUAAAUCACUAAUAAGUGAUGGAUCUGAUACUNNNNNNNNNNNNNNNNNNNNNNNNNNNNNNNNNNNNNNNNNNNNNNNNNNNNNNNNNNNNNNNNNNNNNNNNNNNNNNNNNNNNNNNNNNNNNNNNNNNNNNNNNNNNNNNNNNNNNNNNNNNNNNNNNNNNNNNNNNNNNNNNNNNNNNNNNNNNNNNNNNNNNNNNNNNNNNNNNNNNNNNNNNNNNNNNNNNNNNNNNNNNNNNNNNNNNNNNNNNNNNNNNNNNNNNNNNNNNNNNNNNNNNNNNNNNNNNNNNNNNNNNNNNNNNNNNNNNNNNNNNNNNNNNNNNNNNNNNNNNNNNNNNNNNNNNNNNNNNNNNNNNNNNNNNNNNNNNNNNNNNNNNNNNNNNNNNNNNNNNNNNNNNNNNNNNNNNNNNNNNNNNNNNNNNNNNNNNNNNNNNNNNNNNNNNNNNNNNNNNNNNNNNNNNNNNNNNNNNNNNNNNNNNNNNNNNNNNNNNNNNNNNNNNNNNNNNNNNNNNNNNNNNNNNNNNNNNNNNNNNNNNNNNNNNNNNNNNNNNNNNNNNNNNNNNNNNNNNNNNNNNNNNNNNNNNNNNNNNNNNNNNNNNNNNNNNNNNNNNNNNNNNNNNNNNNNNNNNNNAAUGCUAACUUCUACUCCCAUCUGAAGGACACUAAACUGAAUAACUAAGCUGAACUGAAUAACUGAACUGAACUGAUUAGCUGAACUGGUACUGAUUAACUGGUCUGAUACUAGUCGUAUUGUUUAGCAGAGCUAAACUAAGUUUACUGGAUUCCAAUGAAUAAUGGAAUGUACUGAGUUUUGAGGACUGGUUGAGAGUAAUGAAGUUACUGAGAUUGACUGUGAAUACUGGCGUUGCUGAGGUUACUGAGCACUGAGAUUACUGAGAUUACUGGACUACUGAGAUUUUUGAGUUUUUCUGAUUCACAUGACUGACUGAAUUUUAUAGAUCAUGGCUUGACUGAGAGUAUCGUGAAAACAUGACAUGGCUCUAGGCACACAGCUAUAUUUUUCAGGUACAAGUACCCCCAGGACUCGAUGGAAGGAAACUGACACAACUAAAAUUUCUUGAGUACUCGACCAUCAAUAAAAAUUCAUAAUACAUGAGUGAGGGAUUUCAUGAAGUACAUGGUCAUCAUAAUAUCUGUAAUGAAUAGGAAUGCUUAUAAUCAAGUCAUAAAUCUCAUAUUCUAAUAUCAUGGGCAUUCCGACGACAUAUACUAUUCAUAGAAAUCGCAUGGAAAUUAUUCAAGCGUAAGGGAACGACAACAUGUAACGUUUAGUUCAUAUUGUAAUGAUUUGGGGAUAUUAUACUUCAUAUAUUUAUUCAACAUCUUAAACAUGGUAGGCAAAGCAUGGAUAUAUUUUGUGUACAUAAUUUAUAUCUNNNNNNNNNNNNNNNNNNNNNNNNNNNNNNNNNNNNNNNNNNNNNNNNNNNNNNNNNNNNNNNNNNNNNNNNNNNNNNNNNNNNNNNNNNNNNNNNNNNNNNNNNNNNNNNNNNNNNNNNNNNNNNNNNNNNNNNNNNNNNNNNNNNNNNNNNNNNNNNNNNNNNNNNNNNNNNNNNNNNNNNNNNNNNNNNNNNNNNNNNNNNNNNNNNNNNNNNNNNNNNNNNNNNNNNNNNNNNNNNNNNNNNNNNNNNNNNNNNNNNNNNNNNNNNNNNNNNNNNNNNNNNNNNNNNNNNNNNNNNNNNNNNNNNNNNNNNNNNNNNNNNNNNNNNNNNNNNNNNNNNNNNNCUUGAAAUUUGAUCUUCAAGCUUGAUUGUGCAACCCUAGUUGUUUUUCUUCUUUAGUGCUCUUGGAUGAUGAGCUUUGAGAUGUUAAUAGGGUUGUAAUGUGUUUAGAAGCUAUAUAUUUCGUAGGGUUAAGUUUAGGGACGUGUAAGGAGUGUUAAAAGACUUAAUUGCCCUCAAAAUAACUCAAAACAAAGUGUUUUUAGCAUUGGAACUGACUUAGGCGGCGCCUAACCAAUCGCCUAAGUUUGGUUGGGCGGCGCCUAACCAAUCCCCUAUCCUUACUAUCUCUCACAAAAAUGGGCAUAACUUUUUGUUCGGGUAUUGUAUUAAGGUAAAAUUGGUAUCGUUGGAAAGAUAAUUUAAUUAUCCACAAUUUGGUGGGUCUAAAUCAGACAAAAUACCAUAUUAACAUCGAGUUAUACUCGUUCAAAGAUGACCCUUGCAAAAUUGAAUACUAAAACUUGAUGGAUUCAAAAACUCUUAGCUUGUAUUAUCUUAAGUGACUCAUAUGAACAUGCUUAAUGUAUCAUAAUCUAUCUUAUCUCUAGUAUACUCAUUGUUAGUCAUGCACUAAAAUGCUACUCACAAGAUAGGAGGUUUCAUAAGUAGGAAAAAUGGUUCGUCUCCUAGCUUAGAAACAUACGGGGUAUUCAUAACCAAUACCCCAACAGCUUUUAUGGACCUCAUGAAUUAAGUGUUCAAGCAAUAUCUUGAUAUGUUUGUCAUUGUGUUCAUAGAUGACAUCCUUGUGUACUCCUUUAAUGAGAGUGACCAUGCAAAUCACCUAAAAAUUGUCUUGCAAACUCUUAGAGAUUAGUAGUUAUUUGCCAAAUUUAGUAAGUAUGAAUUUUAGCUAAGGUCUGUUACCUUUCUAGUUUAUGUUGUUUCAGCCGAAGGUAUUAGAGUUGAUCCCCAAAAGACAGAAGCUAUGAGAAAUUAGCCUAGGCCUAGCUCUCCAUCUGACAUUAGAAGUUUCUUAGGUCUAGCGGGCUACUACCAUUGUUUUGUUGUAGUCUUCUAUUCUAUUGCAUCUCCAAUGACUCGGUUGACUCAAAAGAAAGUUAAGUUCCAGUCGUCAGAUUUCUUUGAGAAGAGUUUUCAGGAGUUGAAGAUUCUACUUACUUCAACCCUUGUGUUGGCUUUUCCUGAUGGUAGAGAUGGUUUUGUGGUGUAUUGUGAUGCCUCUAGAAUUGGUUUGGGUUGUGUAUUAAUGCACAGAGAUAAAGUUAGCCUAUGCCUCUAGACAGUUAAAGUCGUAUGAGAAGAAUUACCCAACCCAUUAUCUUGAGUUAGCUGCUAGGGUCUUUGCUUUGAAAAUAUGGAGACACUAUCUUUAUGGUAUUUAUGUUGAUAUGUUUACUGAUUACAAGAGCCUGCAGUAUGUAUUUACUCAGAGAGAGUUAAAUCUUAGGCAGAGGAGGUGGUUAAAUUUGUUAAAAGACUAUGAUAUGAGUGUGUUGUACACCCGCUAAAGGCAGAUGUAGUGGCAGAUGCCCUUAACAGAUUGUCUAUAGGUAGUGUUGCUUAUGUAGAGGAAAGUAAGAAAGAGUUAGCUCGCGAUGUGUAUUGUCUGGCUAGAUUGGGUGUUAGGUUUCUUGAUUCAGCCGAGGGGAGUACAUUGGUACAGAGUAGUUCCGAAUUCUCUUUAGUUUUAAAAGUGAAGGAGAAGCAAGAAAGGGAUCCUAGUUUGGUCAAACUGAAGGAGUCAGUUAAGGGCCAAAAGGUAGAAGUUUUCUCCUAAGGGGGAGAUGGCGUGUUGAGAUUGCAAGGUAGAUUGCGUGUUCCGUGUGUUGAUGAUUUGAGGUAGAGGAUUAUGGAUGAAGCACAUGGCGCACAGUAUUCUAUUUAUCCCCGCACUACCAAGAUGUACCGUGACUUGCGGGAAAUCUAUUGGUGGAAUGGUAUGAAGAAAGAUAUAGCUGAGUUCGUAACAAAGUAUGCAAAUGCUAACAGGUUAAGGUAGAGUACCAAAGUCCUGGUGGUGUGAUGCAAGAGUUUGGUAUACCCACUUGGAAGUGAGAGGAGGUAAAUAUGGACUUCGUAACCAGGUUGCCUCUUUCACGCCGUCAUCAUGAUUCUAUUUGGGUUGUUGUAGAUAGGCUAACUAAGUCCGCAUAUUUCUUUCCCGUGCAUACAUCUUAUGCAGUUGAGGAUUAUGCUAGAUUGUAUAUUCGAGAUUUAGUCAGGCUACACAGAAUUUCCUUGUCUAUCAUUUUGAAUUGGGGCACUCAAUUUAUUUCUCAGUUUUGGAGGGCAUUCCAGAAGGGUCAUGGUACCCAAGUCCUUUUGAGUUUUGCUUUCUAUCCGCAGAUAGAUGGUCAGGCUAAGAGGACCAUUCAGACCUUGGAUGAUAUGUUGAGGGCAUGUGCUCUUGAUUUCAAAGGUAGUUGGGAUGAGCAUUUGCCAUUGAUAGAGUUUGCCUAUAAUAAUAGUUACCAUGCUAGCAUCAGGAUGGCACCAUUUGAGGCCUUGUAUGGUAGGAUAUAUAGAUCACCCAUAGGUUGGUUUGAAGUGGGUGAAGCUACCAUGACUGGGCCUGAUGCAGUAUUUGAAGCUAUGGAGAAAGUUAAGUUGAUUAGAGAGAGGUUAAAGACCGCCCAAAGUCAUCAAAAGUCUUAUGUCGAUAUGAGGAGAAGAGAUCUUGAGUUUGAAGUAGGUGAUUUGGUAUACUUGAAGUUUUUACCCAUGAAAGGGGUGAAAAGGUUUGGUAAAAAAAGAAAACUUAGUCCCCGUUAUGUUGGCCCCUAUAGAGUCUUGAACCGUGUUAGUAAAGUAGCCUAUGAAGCUGAGUUGCCCACAGAGUUAUUAGCUGUUCAUCCUAUCUUUCAUGUCUCCAUGCUUAAGAAGUACAUUGGUGAUUCCGUUGUGGUAGAUCCUUCAGAAAGUGCUGAUAUUCAAAAUAGUCUUUUAUUCGAUAAGAUUCCUGUUGACAUUCUAGAAUUUUAGAUCCGUAGACUGAGGAAGAAAGAAGUUCCCUUGGUCAAAGUUUUGUGGAGGAACUAGUGAGUUGAGGGCGCUACUUGGGAGGCAGAAGCAGGCAUGCGAGUCAAGUACUCCCACCUCUUUUUCGCUAGUUCAGAUCAAUCUAAAGGUAUUAUUCUUCCUUAAUUCAGCCCUUCUAAUCUAAAGUUCAGCUAUAUGUAUCUAUUCUUGCAAUUUCUGAGGCAUUCGAGAGUUUAGAGAGAUUUUGAACCCGUUUUAGCAACUUGCUUCAGCUAUGUGUACUCUGUUUUCCUGUGUUCCUAGUCUAACUAGAAACUUUCAAGGACAAAUGUUUCCAAGUGGGAGAUAUUGUAAGAUCCCACAAAGUUCCCUUGUAGUCUAAGCCUUAGAGCGUGUCAAGCGAAGUGUAAUUCCGUCCCUAAAAAAUUGAGAAGUGGCUUCCCAAGUAAUUGGUGUUUCAAUCAUAAAUAAUUUUCUUAAAUUUCACUGUUGGUCAUGUAGAGAAUUGAAUUAGCUUUCCAACGAUACCAAUUUUGUCCAAAUCCAGUAUCGGGGUAAGAAGUUAUGAUCAUUUUACUGAGUGUUCUCGGAACCACCUGGGUGUGAUAAACGAUCCGACGGACCAUCGCAACCAAGGAAGUAACUCCUCUUUCUUGCCCAAGUGCGAUGGACAAAAUGACGGACCGUCAAGGCUGCAAUGGACUGUCGCUAAGAUCAUCGCGCUCAGGAAGUGUGGCCUCAUCCUGGCCAAUGUGCGACGAACGAUUCGACAGACCGUCGCUUCGACCGUCACACCGAGGCAGUAUGAUCUUUUUCUGAACAGUAUAUGACAGAUGACCCAACAAACCAUUAGGCUAGCGACGGACUGUCGCUUCGACCGUCGCAACCCCCGUUCAGUAUUUUUAAGUCCUUUUUAAAAGGGGUUUUUGGGUCUUUUCCCUUUUAACCCUUAGAUAUAUUCCAAAUGAACUUGAUAGCCUCAUUAUCUCCCAAAAAAUCCAAAGGCUAGGGUUUCUUUCUUAAGAGAAAAUCUAAAACCCUUGUCCAAGAAAUCCAAGAACUCACCAUGGAUUCUACAAAUUGAGUUGAGAUUUGAGUUCUCCAAGUUUAAAGGUUGCAAGAACUCUCUCUCAAGAGUAAGAAGAAGAGUUUAGAGCAAUCUCAUUCAUCCAAUUUCAUAAUCUAAGCUAUGUGGGAUUGUGAACAAGGGUAAUUCUUUCAUCCUUGUGCUCAAAGACUUAUUUAAACUAUGAUUUUCUGCAAUCUAUGAGAUUUUACAUAAAUUUGAAUUAGGGUUUUCCACCCAUUUUAUUGAUUGUAAUAUUUUGACGUUUCCCAUGAAUUGAGAGUCUAAUGGCAUGACUUUCAUAUAUUUUCUUGAGAAACUGCAGCUGGGUCUAUACCCCAUGAUUUUAAUCCUUGAGAAAUUAAUAGUUGAAGUGUUUGAGAUAUUGAAGUAUAUGAGUAUGUUGAGAUUUUGAGACAAAUUGCUGAAAUUUCUAGAUUUCUAUAUGAGUUAUAAAUCUAUAUGCUAUCUAUUAUGCUUUUGAUGAGUUCUAACUUGAGAUUGAAUUAUGGGUUAUUAAGCUCUACUCGAGGCUUGAGAUUUUAUGAACUAUUGUUCUAUAAGCACCCAUGAUUUGAGUAUUCUGAGAUUAUUGAGGAAUGUUUUGACCUAAUGGUCAUUGAUUUUUGAAAUCCACUCAACUACAUGAGAUUACAGAUUUGAUUAUUGGGUUCUUAUUGAGCCAUGGGAUUAUUCUAAACUGGAUUUUCAUGAGAUGAGUGAGAUAAACUAAAGGGAGUAGUAUUUAGUACCGAGUUGGGUAAGUUACCACAGUUUCUUACCCCAGAACUACGUACCACCAUAGGUUGGGCCUAAGGCCAAGAGGAUUGUUUGUCCUAAGGCCGAGAUAUUAGGCCCGAGGUCGAGAUAAGUGAUCACUGACUUGAGGUUAUAUUCCUUGGCAGAGUAUGACGCCCCUCCCCAAUGUGAGGUCUCUUCUUUAGGAGGACAAAACGUUUGAAUCCAUGUAGCUCGCAUGGUUUAUGUCGGUUAAGAGAACCUCCCUUGAUACAAGUUAAUUUCCUAAUAGUAAAGUUUUGGAUUUGCUCCCUAAAACCAAAGUAUUUUCCCUUGAUAUAAGUAUUUUCUCUAAAAUUAUGAGAUAAGUUAUUUCUCUAAACUAUAGUAUCUUUCCAUUGAGAUAGAAUGAUUUCCCUAAAGGUUGAAACAAUAUAUUUUCCUAUAGAGAAUGAAAUUCCUUCAAGUAUGUUCCAAAGUUAGAUGAUUAUGAAUUCCAAGUACUUGAGUUCAAAAGAGUUAUGAGUUCUUGAGCAUUAAAGAAGUUUUACUCUCCAUGAGAUAUAUGAAUGAGUUGAAAGUAUUGUUUAAAGUUUCCUUUAGCCUAUGGGUAUUGAGAAUAAGAGAAGAUUACCGAUUUCACAGUUAAAAUAUGAUGACUCACGAGAUUUAUGUUACAUGCUCCAUUCUACAUGAUUUAUGAGCUUUACAUUUUAUACUUAUUCAAGCCAUGUAAGUCAUUACUUAUUGCAUGAAUGAUUUGAUUAAAGAGCAUUGAUGUUGUUUUAUAUAAAUGCAUGCACCCCCACAUACUCGGUACAUUCCCAAGUGCUAAUCCAUAUAUAUGUCUAUGUGCUACAUUAUCUUAGAAUAUAGGUUCAGGUGCUUCGUCCCAGCCUCGUCAGUGACUUUUGAGUACCUCUAUCUACAUCCCUACAGUGGUGUUUCCUCAUGUUUCGAGGACCUAUCAUUAGACAUUUCAUCAUUUGAGAGACUAUGUUAUUACUUUCAGUUCAUUUCAAAUCAGUUGGGGACCUGUCCCAAUGGCUCUCUAGUUCAUGGAUUAGUAGAGGCUUUGCCAGACUAGUUAUCAGAUUGUGGUUGUAUUGAGGUUUUCCAAUAUUGCUUGGUUGUUUGGACCGAGCAUUUUCUCCGUAUUUCCUUUUAUAUGAUAUGACUAUGCUGGUGUUUGAAUUAUUUCAUCUUGACAUGAGUGUUAUUAGUAGAAACGGGCUCAAAGGGUUAGCUUGGGGCAACUCUUAGCCUUAAGCACCGUGUGACCUCCCAGGAGGGGAUUUCGUAUCAUUACAAAAGCUCCAUCUAAAUCAACUGAGUUUUCCUUAUCCUCCCCACUCAACACCUUAUCUUAAAUUAUCCUCAAUCCAACAUCAUUAAACUAAUGAGCUCGAAUCUGCUCUAUAAAAAAAAAUCUAGCCUCCAUAAAUGCCAAAAUACGCCCAUGCGUUGAAAUAUAGAGCCUAAUCAUUUGGUUAGCUAAAUACUGAACCUCUAAGGCUUAAUUCCUCUCCUAGCUCAAAAGAUGUGCCAAACUAGCCAUGCUAGUUGUCUUCCGACUCAAGGCAUCUGCAACCAUAUUAGCCUUGCCCAAAUGGUAGAGAAUAUUCAAUUCAUAAUCCUUAAGGAACUUAAGCCAACAAUGCUGCGUUAUAUUAAGAUCUCAUUGGGUGAAGAAGUAGUGAAGGCUACAAUGAUCUGAGAAGAUCUCAUAAUACACUCCAUACAAGUAAUGCCUUCGUAACUUUAAGGAAAAUGCAGUUGCGCACAACUCCAUCAGGCUUUAACUGAUGAGAUGCAUAAGCAAUCUGUUUUCCCUCCUGCAUCAACAUAACACCUAACCCAAUACCUAAAGCAUCACAAAAGACAGUAAAACCCACAUCCUUCUUAGGCAAAGUCAAGAUCAGAGAUGAAGUCAACAAAUCCUUAAGAUUUCGAAUGCUUGCCUCACAAGCAUUAGACCAUUGAAAGAAAUUUUCUUUUGGGUCAACUUAGUUAAUGGAGUUGCAAUGGAUGAAAAACCCUCAAUAAAACUUUGAUAAUAACCAACUUAACUAACAAAACUUUGAAUCUCAAUAGGAGAAGUAGGUCUAGCCUAAUCAUGAACCGUUGCAACGUUACUUGGAUCAACCAUAAUACCUUCCUUAUUCACCACAUGACCCAAGAAAGAAUUAGACUCCAAGAAAACCUCGCACUUAGUAAACUUUGUAUACAACUUCUCAUCCCUCAAUCUUUGAAGCACAAUCUACAAAUACCCCUCAUUCUUAACAUCACUCUUGGAAUAAACCAAGAUAUCUUCAAUAAAUACAAUAAAAUAGGAAUCAAGAUCUGAUCAAAACACAGGGUUCAUCGACUCCAUAAAUAUGGCUGGGGCACUGGUCAAUCCAAAGGACAUGACUAAGACUCAUAAUAACCAUAUUGAGUCCAUAAAGCGGUCUUCAGAAUAUUCGAUGCUUUACAUACUAUGUCUAAAGGACAUGACCAAGACCAUAUUGAUAUGUGUUGUUUUACAUACUAUGAUUGGGUCUGUACGGAAGCUGUGUAUGUAACUGAUGUUUAUAGACUGCGGAAAUUGUAAAGCUUAGCCAAAAAAAAAAAGAAACAGAAGUGAUUCUUUCAUAUGGUAUAAGUUGUUAAGUUAAAUUGGUAACCUGCAUAUUAAUUUUUAGCUUAAGUGCACCCUUCUAAGUAAAAUAUCAAGUAAAAUAUGAAGUAUAUACUUGUUAGUGGGAGAAAAUUUUUAGUUACAUUUUCUUUCAUCUUGGUGUUGGUUAGUCUGAUUAGGGGAUGCAGUAUACCUUCCCUUUUUGGGUUUUGGGUCAUAUCUUCCUAAAAAUUAUGCAUAAGAUUUAUUUAUUCAUAAAUUUUUUGGCUCAUUUUGGAUAACCAAAUUCUCUGUUUGAUUAAGUUUUAGUUUCUGAUAUUGAAGCGUAUGUUUUUCUUUUUAUAUAUACUGCUAAAUUACCGUAUUUAGGUUAAGUUUAAAUAAUCAUACGUGAUUCUUUGUUUAUUGAUCUAUUUUUCCUUUAAUUUUGUCAUUUUUGAUUUAUUUGGAUGUUUUGGAUUAUUAAUCUUUAUCCUUUUUUUUAUUUUACAUGGAAUACUUGGGAGUUGGAGUUUCGCAAUGGAACUCGUUUUGACCCAAUAUCGGAUCAAUCGCUAUUAGGAUUGCAGAGCUUCGAGAUCGCAUUACUUGAAAACUCAAACUCUGAAAUGGAGUCUAGUACCCUCUUUAGAUGUUUUUCUCUAAUUUUUUCAUAUUAUAUUAUUUUUUCUAGAAUGACAACUAACUUUAUGUGUCGUUAUUAAUUUCAUUUUGAGAUCCUUUAUUGGUUUAUUGUUUUAUUAUAUGUCUAUCUUUAAACAUUGUUAUCACAUUGUUGCGGUUAACGCUUAACUAAGUAAUCCAUAAAAAUAAUUUUCUUCAAGGACUAGUGAACCUUAAAAUUUUGAUUAGUGUUUAGUUGGUUAUCUCACUUUAAAGAGAUUUGCUAAUAAAAUGGAAGUAGUAAUUCCUAUCUUUAUUUUUAUUUUUUGAAAAAUGAGCUUUCGGAAUUAAAUUAGUAAGUAAGUAAGUUGCCAAUUUUAGAUUCGAAUCACUGAUUUCAACUUGUUAAAUGAAUAUUGCUAACAUGUUAUAUUUUACAAACGCUAUUAAAAAUUUCAGACCCCAAAGGAAAGAAAUGCAAGGUAUAAAUAUUCAUCCGCUACUAUGUACAAGGAACAUUAUUUUUGAUACUACUAAAAUUAUUUUCAUCAUUAUCAUUGUUUAUAUUAAUUGUCAAUAUUACUACUUUAUUAUUUGCAUCAUAGUUAUCAUUUUUUAUAAAAAAACAUCAUCAAUAUUAGUAUUAUUAUUGUUGUACUUGAUUACUACCAUUAUUAUUAUUAUUAUACUCUCUUUUUAAAAAAGAAUGACCUACUUUGACUUGUCACAAAGUUUAAGAAAAUAAAGAAGACUUUUGAAUCUUGUAGCCUUAAAUUAAAGUUGUGUCAAAUGUACCAAAAUUCCCUUUAAUCUUGUGGUCCUAAACAUGCCAUGUGGAAAUUUGAAAUUGAACUAUUGUCAAAAAAGAAAAGGGGUCAUUCUUUUUGAAACUGACUAACAAGGCAAGUAGGUUAAUCUUUUUGAAAUGGAGGGAGUAAUUAUUAUUAUCAUUACUAUUAUUAUUAUCACUAUUGUUGUUACUAUUAUUAUUAUUAUUAUUAUUAUUAUUAUCAUUGUCGUUAUUAUUUUUUCAUAAGUUCAACAUAAUUACCUAUUUUCACACUCUUGAAAGUAUCUUUCGUAAAUAAACUCCAUGCUAUAAAAAUACUUUAUUUAUUUCAUAAAUAUUUAAAUUCUCAUAUAUUUUUAUAUUCCCUUAUGCAAGUAGGUUAAUCUUUUUGAAAUGGAGGGAGUAAUUAUUAUUAUCAUUACUAUUAUUAUUAUCACUAUUGUUGUUAUUAUUAUUAUUAUUAUUAUUAUUAUUAUCAUUGUCGUUAUUAUUUUUUCAUAAGUUCAACAUAAUUACCUAUUUUCACACUCUUGAAAGUAUCUUUCGUAAAUAAACUCCAUGCUAUAAAAAUACUUUAUUUAUUUCAUAAAUAUUUAAAUUCUCAUAUAUUUUUAAAUUCCCUUAUGGAAUUAUACGACCUUAAAUUUUCUAGCAUACAUAAAUUAUGUUAUCAUCCUCUUCAUAUUUAGAAUGCAUGCAUGUUUUCGUAAUAAUCACAUUACUUUCCCGUAAGUAGUAGCAUCAUGUUUUCUAUACCUUAAAUUUUCUCCUAAGUAACAAACAAUAAAAAAUGAUAAUAAAUUUUCUAUCACUAUUUUAAGGAAAUAACUAAAUAAUGUUUUUUCUAAUAUUUUCCUAAACUAAGCCUAAGGACUAUCUUCGGAUAGGCCCUGAGGAUGCUUAACACCUUCCCCUCAGGAAACCAAAACCCUUACUCAGAAUUUCUAAAUGUUUUUGAAAGACCAAAACAGAUUUUUCUACAUAAAAUGGUUUUUCCCUAAUUUUUUUAAAACGUUAGGUGGCGACUCUAAAAAUGAUUUUCAAAUUCCAAGAGCCAUUAAACACCACCACAUGCCGUGUGCUAUUUCGACCGGUUUGAAAUAGGGCACGACAGAAUGGCGACUCUGCUGGGGACCUAAUGAACUUAGGUUUGACCUUUACAUGCUUAGUUUAGGAUUUUUGGGCUUUAUUAUGUUAUUUGUCUACCCGUCUUUAUAUCAUGCUUUCUGUGAAAGGACGCAAUCCAAAUCCUAACUUACGUUCCUUGUUUGUUUAUACAACACUAUUUGUUACUGCUUUAUCACUUGCAUUGUUCCUAUCGAGUCUUGGUUAUAUAUAAUUCAUACACUGAACAGCGAGGGGUGUACUACACUCCUCCAAAACCUCUUUGGAUUUCUUAGUUUCAGAGUUGGUGCAAUUAGGUUAGUGCACCUUCUCGCAAAUAUUUAGUCCCACUCUCAAAAUUUUUAAGAAAAAAUCUUACUCUAGAAAUAGGUCAUAUUGUAUAAACCUUAGGCGGAGCGGUCCAAGGUAUCGUUCCAGCGGUUAGGAAACCAUCCUUCAUGUCAACGGGUUCUUUAUGAACCUAAUGAUGCUAUAUUUGUCAAAUGAUUAAUUGAUCCAAAUGUUAAGAACAUAAUAAAUUCAAGACAUUGAACUUACCUAUCUCUUUUUUUUUUCUUUUCUUUGCACAGAUGGAAAUCAACCAAAACCUUGCCAACAUCUAGAUGCUGACUGACAUUCCCCGAGUCCUAAGACAUUGAUGGGAAAAUAUCCGAGUAGCACAUGGAGAAGUGGUGUUCGCAUAUUUGGAAUCUUUGACAGAUUUGAUGGGGGUUAAGAGCAAUUAUUCAAUUUCUAGUCAAAUUCUGGGACCCAACUACAUUUACCUUCAGGUUCACGGACUUUGACAUCACGCCUACUUUGGAGGAGGUCAGCCAAACGUCUAGCUUUCCAUUGGCAGGGCGGGUACCUUUAUCCCCAUAAAACACUUCAGGGAGCAGUUUUCUACUCUUGAUCGGGCUGAGAAUCGGUGCAGGCAUGUGGAUGGCGAAGAUAGGCUGGAUAAGCCUGGGUUAUCUUUUUGAAAGGUUCGGUAUGAGGGAGAGUUAUGACCAUCUUCAGGAGGAGUUCUUCUUUACUAGGAUCGAUUGGAAAAGACAUAGGGCCAUUGUCUUUAUGGUGGCUUUCCUCAGCGUUAUGGUGUUCUCGAUGAAAAGAAACCAGAUCAGCAUCUACCUACUCCCCACGGUUAUAUUCAUGUUCAGGGGAUCGGUCAGAACUACUAUUAUGCCGAUGAUUUAGCACAGAUAUUUUGAUCCUUGUCUACAUGCUCCAGGGGACAUGACUUUUCAUAGGUUGCAACCUAAUACUCCAAGUUUGGGCAUUAGAAUAUUUUUAUUACAGGGACGACAUCCAAGUAGCAGGUCCUAACCAAAUUUGCAGCCAUAGACUUAGGGUGUUUAUGUGGGAGAUGCCGAAUAAUAAGAAGCAGUGGCAGGUCUUCCUCACCCAUCUCACCGGUAACUUCAUCUAGUAGAGGCUACCGUGGGUUAGCGGUCGAGUAAUGUUAAGGAGUAAUUACACUUAUUUUCUUGAGUUGAUUGGGUUAGAAGGAAUCCAUCCAUAUGCGCCACUAAGAGUUCUACGACAAUUUGGCAUGAUUCAGAACAUGCCUUUAUGGUUAAACAAGGCAUUAUUGAAAGUAGAUUAUGAAGGAAGAAUCCCCAUGGAGAGGCUUCGUAACCUUGUCCAUGGGUGGGGACAGAUCAUCAGCUUAGGCACGCGCGAUAAUCCCUAAUACACCCCUGAAUACUACACAUGGUACCGAUCGAGAGACAUUCUUUCCAGACUAAGUUAUGAGGCACUUCAGGGACUUGCAUACGUUUAUACAGCUGAUCAGAUUUAGGAUCAGUUAAUGCACCUUAGUCCCAUGACCACCGCCAUGUACAAGAAGGUGAUUCCGAGAUCAGUGGAUCACCUCAUCCGGGCAGUAGAUGAUGAACCCGAGGAGGAAAUGGAAGAAGAUCCUAAAGAGAACCCAGAGAAAGAUUCAAAGAAGGACUUGAUGGAAGAGCAGGAGGGAGAACUGACAGAGGAUAUGGAAGAGGAUCUUGAAGAAGAAAAGUACGGACCCAUAGAUUUUGGUGGUAGAGCAGACGAAGACCACCAGGAGAAACAAUCAGAUGGGUCUCCAGAGUAUCACCCAGGGCCCUACUAUGACCUCAAUGAUGAUGAUGAUGAUCCCUCCAGCUGGCCUUAGGAUCCAUCUUGUUAUCAUAGAUUUCUGAAGGUCUUGCACGACUUAUUUCAACUUUUGUCUUUUAUUUUUAUUUUCCUUAAAGGGUCUUGCAUGAACUCUAUUGAUAUUGUUAUAUGCCUACCAUGAUGUAAUAUUUAGUUCAAGACUUUUCUCUUUGUAACCCGUGGCUUCACACUUUGCCUCUUUUAUUAAUCAAAAUACCUUUGUCCUGAAUUUAAGUACGAUUUAGAACUUUGGAUCAAUUAAUCAUACUUGCAUCGUAGGCCCACUGCUGGUAAAAAGAGGCUCUAUAUUAGGACAUGUUUGGAUGUCGCCAACUUUGUGUAUGUAUGUGUUACUUACUUGUUACAUUUACAUUAUCUCCCAAACUAACAUAGUUUCCCUUUUCUUUUUUAUUUCUUUCUUUUAUUAACUCCCAAAAAAAGAAACUUGAUUUGUGUCAAUUGGAAAACUGGCAGAAUCUCAGUAUAACCUCUGAUCUAGAAACAAAAUGACCAAUAAUGACAAGGCUGUGAUGAUAGCCAUAAAUGAAGCUGAAAGCUUGCAGAAUCUAUCAGACACUCAAAAUGACGAUCAAAUGGACAAUAUGGUGCAAGAAAUCGAAGUGUUAAAGGAAGAGUUGCAUCAAAUGCGAGACUUAACUAAGAUUACCGUUGCCAGCUUUCCCACUCAAUUCCAAGGUACAGAUGUUGGAUUAACCCCUGUUGCCCCAGCUAACCCAACGAAUUGACCACAUGCUCAAGCCCCGCCUACUUUUUAACUUACCAUUGGGACGGCGCCAGGUUAUCUAUUUCCUACUCGUAACUUUACUAUUUCGAUCCAUCCAAAAAUGCUCCACAUACCUGAGGCGUAUGUCACUUGUGAAGUACCUAUGCCACCGAUAUAUGCUACCAAAGUUCCUACCUUCGCAACAUCUACAGCUGUCAAGGUUUUAUAUAAGGUUGAGGGAUACGCAGGAUUAGGAUGGGAUAUGCAGUCAGGUGAAUAAGGGUCGAUAGUAUCCCAAUUCAAAAUUUUAAAGGAGGCAUUCAGAAAUAUGCAAAUCACCAGAGGGACUAAAAGCCUUAUCUACGAUGACUUAUGCAUUCAUCCGGGCAUCAACAUACCAGUGGGAUACAAACCACCAAAGUUUGAUGUGUUUAACGGAAGGGUGACCCGCAUGCACACCUUAGAGCUUAAUGUGAUAAGUUGGUCAGUGUGAGGAGGAAUGAGAAGUUGAGAAUAAAGCUGUUCAUCUGGAGUUUGUCGGGAGAAAAUUUGACUUGGUACACCCAACAAGACCCCCAUAAAUGGCAUGACUGGCGGGAAAUGGCUGAGGACUUUAUGAGUCACUUCAGAUUUAACACUGAGAGUGCCCCAGAUAGGUUCUCAUUGGCAAACAUACAGAAGAAGACAUCAAAAUCAUUUCAAGAGUACGCAUGGCUUUGGAGAACCGAAGAUGCUAGGAUCCAGCCUCUACUGGAAGAAAGUGAGCUCUCCAAGUAUUUUAUACGAGCUCAAGAAGGUGUUUAUUUUGAAAAAAUGAUAUCACUGAUUGGACAAAAGUUUACAAAGUUGGUCAAGAUAGGAGAUUUCAUUGAAAAAGACAUCAAAUCAGGGAAGAUCCAAUCUAUGGCUGCACUUGAGGGAAAGGCCCCUAAUUCGACCUCUCAAACCAUAUCGACUGGUUCCAUUAAUGGCAAUAAGAAAAAGAGGGAAGAUGUGUCAGCCACCACACCAUGCUACAAACUUGUAAAUUCUUCCUACUGUUACCCUAACAUCCCCCAAAUUGUUGCACAUAUCCAGUGUAUAAUACUCAACCGUAUUAUAAUCUACCUUGAGCUCUAGCAUACCAAAAUACACCAAGACCAUACACUCCUGUACAAGCUCCAGCUCACCAAAAUAGACCAGCCUAUGCACCCAGACCACGUCUAAACUUUAAAGCCAGAAAUGCCCAUACCUACACACAAAUUGCAGAACCUUUGGCCCAGUUGUUUGAAAGAUUGAGGGCUGCUGGUUUGUUGCAUCCAAUUGAGGGAAAGGCCCCUGAUUUGACGUCUCAAACCUUUGAUGGUAGCAAGCGGUGCGCCAUCACUCAGGAGUCCAGGGGCAUGACAUAGAAGACUGCUACAGCUUGAAGAAUCAAAUUGAGUCUCUGAUAAGGAGGGGCAUAAUCAAAUACACCGCUGCAUCUCCCAAUAUGAACAACAAUUCCUUGCCAAAUCAUGACAAUCGAGAAGUCAAUAUGAUUACUCUAGAGGAGGAGUAUGAUUUGGAAGAAACUAUUGUGCCCACAUGGAAUGCAGAAGAAAUCGCUACUGCAUCUCCAUCACAACCAUUUAUUACCAUUUAGUUGAGGGAGCCAAUAACUAUUCAGACUUACCUGUUGAGAGUCAUAGUGACCAUAUUAGCCACUGGAAGGUUCGACUAUGACACUAAAACAGUCCCGUGGGACUAUCGAACUGAAGCCAAAGGAAAAAUGAUAGACAUUGCUGUGGCCCAAAGGAUUACCAGGUCAGGAAGGUGUUACGCACCCGAAGAACUAAAUCGUGGAGCUCUCGGGAAAGAUCAAAACCCGAGGAGAAAUAUCACAGAUGCUGAAGCUGUAGAAUUUUGGAAAAACAUUCAGCCCAAGGACUAUUCAAUCGAAGAUCAACUCAAGAAGACAACGACCCACAUAUCCGUAAUGUCUUUGGUUAUGAGUUCUAAAACCCACAGGAAUGCUUUAAUGGAAGUGUUAUGUGGGGUCAUCAUACCAAAGGACACCACUAGCGAGACUUUGGCUGCAACAAUCAGGCGAGUGGUGGAGGCAAAUAAGGUCUCUUUCCAUAAUGAUGAGUUACCAUCAGAAGGGGCGAAACACAAUAAAGUGCUCCAUAUUGUAGUCAGAUAUCAUGACAAGAUUGUGAAUAGGGUCUUGAUCGAUGGUGGUUUGGGUUGUAAUAUUUUUCCGUUCUCUACUCUAAGAGAUUUGGGUGUGAAUAUAGAAGAUAUAAGGGAGAGUCGGGUGAAGGUCCGAGUAUUUGAUGGGUCACAAUGGAGUGUCAUCGAUGAAAUUUACUUGACACUGCAGAUAGGACCAACUGAAUUUCCUAUCCCAUUUCAGGUCAUGGAUGUGUCAUCUAGCUACAACCUGCUACUGGGAGGCCAUGGGUCCAUAUAAAAAGAGUCGUUCCUUCCCCUCUCCAUCAGUACGUAAAGUUUGAAUGGGGUCGCACAGAAUUUACUAUCCAUGGAGAAAUCAGUUAUCCUAUUUAUUCUGUUAAUUCAGUCCCAGUCACCAAGGAGUUAGAUGGCUCCACUUUCCAUACCCUGGAGAUCAUGCAAGCUACCAGGACCGAGGAGAAGAUAUAACCAGCUGAAGGGAAAAUAUCGAGUGCUAAAAAGAUGGUUACGUCAGAGAUGUUGAAAUAUGGGUAUCAUCCCAUGACAGGACUAGGACCUAAAGCUGAUGGUAUAGUCGAGCCAAUCUAACUGAAGCAGCAAAAAGGCACUAUAAGGCUUGGAUAUGAGCUCAUUUCUAGAGAAGCCUGCAGUAAAGGAUUAGGAAUAACAGUAUUUAUUCCAGCCCAAGUCCCAAUUUCAGAGCAAAAAGUUGAUGAAGAUUUCACAGAAGGAAUAGGAAAUCUGUUUGUGGCCAUGAUCAAAGAAGAACCAGAGAGAUAUUUCAAGAAGCUCUCCAUCCAUGAUACCGAGCCUGGAGAAGUUCUGUAGAAUUGGACAAUUAGCCCAUCCCUAUUCCGUCAGGAGUCUUGGUAGUGCGGGAUUGUUGGUGCUUUUUAAAAAUUAUUUUGUUUACAUGAUCAAUUGAGGCUUGAAUCAUGCUGAAGCUCUUUUUUCUACUUGCCUCUUGCCAAAGCCCAGUGCUUUUAUUAAUAAAAGCUCUUAUUUUCAAAAUUAUUUUUUCUAUUUUCAAUAGCUACUUACUUUACUCGCUUUUUAUACUUUUCAGCGCAAAUAUUAAUAAAGAUUUGUGUUCCAUGAUUAUGACAUAUAAUGAAUUCAUUGAGAAAAACACAAGCGAUGAGAAAGAUUAUAAGGAGUACAAUGAAAGCAUAAUGCCUGUAAACCUACCACAGGAGAUCGAGCGACUUGAGAGUUAGAAGAAGCCUAAUAUGGACGAAACUAAAGUCAUCAAUUUAGGUGAUGGAGAAAUGGUAAAGGAAACAUGAGUAAGAAUACACUUGGAGGCUGAAAGAAAGUAGGAAUUGAUAAGCCUACUCAAGAAAUACAUCGAUGUUCUUACUUGGUCUUACGAGGACAUGCCUGGUUUAAGCACCGAUACCGUCUCAUAUCGACUGCCCACUAACCCCACAUGCCCAUUAGUAAAUCAAAAAAUGAGGAAAUUCUAACCCGACUUUAGUUUGAGAAUUAAGGAGGAGGUGACCAAACAAAUAGAAGCCAACAUCGUGAGAGUCACAACUUAUUCCACCUGGCUAGCCAACAUCAUGCUAGUACCGAAGAAGGAUGGAAAGAUAAAAAUAUGUGUGGAUUAUCGGGAUCUCAAUAAGGCUAGUCUGAAAGAUGAUUUUUCUCUCCCAAACAUUCAUAAUCUUAUCGAUAACUGUGCUAUACAUGAGUUGCAGUUAUUUGUUGAUUGUUUUGCAGGAUAUUAUCAAAUCCCGAUGGACGAGAAUGAUGCGUAUAAGAUAACUUUUAUUACUCCGUGGGGAGUGUAUUGCUAUAGGGUAAUGCCGUUUGGACUCAAGAAUGCCGAUGCAAUAUACAUGAGGGCCAUGACCACCCUUUUUCAUAAUAUGAUCCACAAAGAGAUUGAGGUGUAUAUGGAUGGCGUCAUUAUCAAGUCCAAAAAGAGUUUGAAUCACCUGAAUGACUUACAAAAGUUCUUCAAAAGGCUGCAAAGGUACGACCUAAAGUUGAAUCCAACUAAAUGCACCUUUGGAGUUCCCGCAUGAAAGUUAUUGGGAUUCACUGUUAGUAGGAGUGGUAUAGAGUUGGAUACAUCCAAGAUAAAGGCAAUUCAAGACUUAUCACCCCGUAAGACCAAAAAGGACAUAAUAAGUUUCUUGGGAAGACUCAAUUACAUUAGUUGGUUCAUAGCCCAGUCCACAAUAAUUUGUGAACCAAUAUUAAGGUUGUUGAAGAAGGAUGCCACCACUGGAUGGACUGAAGAAUGUCAGAAGGCUUUUGAUAAAAUCAAGAAGUAUUUGUCUAACUGAUAACGCUCAACUUACACGUCAAUUUAGUGUAAGGCGGUCGUCGUCAAUAUAUUUACCCAACUUUAGAGUCGGGGUCUAAUCCACAGGGAACAAUGUGAGUGGCGAUUAAACUAGUUUGAAACUAUAGCUACAAGUUGAAUUCAAAUGAAUGAUGCGAAAAGAUAAAGUGGAGGUUUCUAAUGAUCAGCAAAUAAUUGUUGGUCACUAUAGUUUCAGUGUUUGUAAAUCAAAAGUUUAUGAAAUAACCAGAAUUAUGUUCACUAGGGCUUCCAGUACAUGGCAGAUGAUAAAAGUGGGUCAUGCUUGUCACGGUGGAUAGGAUAACAAGCUAUCUUUAUCAAUGUUAUGCUUAAAUGUCUCUCGACCUACUUAAGCAUUUAAUUCCCUACUCUUCUUGGACUUAGGGAAUUUCUAUUUACUUUCCAGAUGUUACCUUAGGUUAACCAAUUUUGUUACAGCGCUGAUUAUUAAAUGAAGUAUUUUCGAGUCCCUAUUGAUAAGUCACGUCCUACUAUAUUUGAUUUCUUUCUCAAGCAAAUCAAAGAAGGUGUGUCUACUGUUUGCAACCAAUAGACAUUAAUUAAAACCUUUGAAUUAUCAAGAAAUCCUACCACCUUUUGAAUCUUGAACACUUAGUACCUUAUCAGGACCUAACUCUAGAUCCCAUAACUUAGGUUAAUGGACUUUAGCCACUCAUGAUGUAAUGAAUGAAACACAUAAUUUAAUUUAUGAUUUGAAAGAUAAACUUACAGAGAUGAAUAAUAACUAGUGAAUCGCAGAUUAUAUCACAAAGAAAAAUCCCAGAAUAAUGAUAAUAAUCUCUUUAAAGUAUUUGUUUUUUCAAGCCAAGAAAUUUAGAGAGAAAAUAUCAAAAGUCUUUUAAAACUCAAGUGCCAACCCCCUAGAAAAACCCUAAAUAAUGCUUUUUAUAGUUAAUCCUAAAUAAGGAAAUAAAGCCACAAAAUUCAAAAAAUCCUUCGGAAUAGGUGACGGCAUUUGUGACGACGUGUCAGGGUCCUGACAACUUAUCAGGAAUGUCGUUAGGCCCUCCAGUAUUCUUGGCAUCUUCUGCUUUAACUGACGACAAAGCUUGACGACUUAUCAGAUACGUGACCACAUAUCACAAAUGUCGUCACUUCUUUAUUCAAAAUUUUAAUCUCUGCCUACACUUGACGGCAACUCUAACACCUUAUCACAGUGUGACGACACGUCAGAAAUGUCAUCACAAUUUCACUAUAAUCUUUCUAACACUGCAACACCUGACGUGAUUUCUGAUAACUUAUCACAGGGCUGACGACUUAUCAGGAAUGUCGUCAGCCACACUUCCAGUUCUUUUACAUCAGUUUUCAGUUCUUUUACUUCCAUUUCCUUAAAUUUCCCUUGCAUCAUGACUUUUACUGCAAUAUCAAAGUAAAAUAAUCAAAAACGAUAAAAGUUGCUUACGACUUCACAAUUAUUCUCAGUUAAAAGCCUUAAAUGUGUUAGCGUCUGCUCACACAUCAACACACUCAACUUAAGACAAUUGGUUGUCCUUAUGCAACCAAAAUAUAACUAAGAGAAUACAAAGUACAAUUUGGCAGUCAAUUUUCUAUAUCAUCCCAACAUAACUUCACCUUUUCCCAGGUCUAUCAAUUCAAACUCAACUGUGUAUACUAUUGAAAAACAACAAUGCAACACACAGGAAUCAAGAUAUGGCAUAAAUUUAGAGUAGCAACCAUGUAUGUACUAAGAUAACACUAUUCGAACAAGUUAGCAACUAGCAACAUAACCUGUGUGCCCUUACAGCAAAAAAAAUCCUUUUUCACUCAUAUCAAAAUUCACAUAUAUACACUUAGGGAUAAUCACGAGACUCACUCUCAAAAUGAAGUUCCACUCAGUGUACAUCAAAUGCCAUAGGCUUGCCCUUAUAGUUAGUACCAAGUUUUUUAGACAGGUCAACUAGAAUCACUAUAGGUCUUUUUCUUGGCUUGUAAUGUAGGCUAGGGCUGGUAUGAUAUUCAAGGGUAUUUAAAGUGACUACACCUCCUUGACAAUACGCUAACCUCUUGGGCUUUCACUUCUUAACCUUUUUCUCUUCCUCCCUUUUAUUGAUCACACAUGCUCAAGGUGGGUGCUAUCUUUUCAAAAACCAAAUUAUCUUUUUCGAUCUUUUAUACAACUUUUUCUUUUCUUAUUCUUUUUGCACUACACCUGGCUUUUUAUUCUUUUCUCUUAUUCUACCUUUCUUCAUAGUUAUUUUGCAUCACACACCCCUAUGAUAGCCACCCUCAACUUAGGAUAUUUUCCUAAGUCAAGGUGCACAGUGUCCAAGGAAGACCAGGGCCAAAAUAGGUUUAUUAUGAAAUAAAUGGGAAGGUGAUAGGUGUCAUGAAAGAAAUAGGCUAUUCAGGCUCAAAAUAGGGAUCAAGGGAUAUUAUGUAUACAGGGAAGGUCAUUUAGUCUAAAAGUGGGCUAAUAUCAAAAUGGCCUAUGAUCCUCUCCUAACCCCUAUCAUACAACCAAGGCAAGACUAACCGGGCAAGUUCUGGAUUCACACACAAAGGGAACUGAGUAAGACCUCACACACACAUGGCACACAAAUAUAUCUCACAUCAUUACUUAUCCAGUUCAUGCAAUUUUUUAGCACUAAUUAUCAAGUUGCUAGAACUAAUGCCACCAAAAGAUGCAUUGUGGUCACAAUUAGAUGCAGUUCACACAAUAUUACAAAUAGACACUUGGAGAGGUGCUUAAAAAUCACAAAACAUAUUAACUGCCUUAUUACUUGUAUUUCUCCUAGUUAACCAUAACACAUCACAAAACAAAUCACAAUAUGCCUAAACAUACUGACUCUACUAAGAACAAGACUCUGAGGAAAAAAAGCACGAUAACAAAAACCCAUAGAGGACAUCAACACCCAUAAGUAGCUUUACCCUCAACUUAAAAUCAUGUAAUGUCCCCAAUGCAUCAAACCAAAACAAGAGAGUUAGAAAUAUACCUGUGGCACUACGGGUGCGAAGAUCUGAUGUCAAUCACAUAAUACGAAUACAGAUAACAAAAUACCUUGGGUUGCCUCCCAAGAAGCGCCUAAUUUAGUGUCGCGGCAUGACUCGGUUAUCUUGACUACUCAGACUUCAUCAAGAUACCUUGUUGAUAAUUAUUUAUGUCUCCACUUAAAGGAUUUGAAACAUCGACCCAACUUUUGAUCAAUACAUCUUCGGGGUGUGUUGGGCAAAUGUGAGGGCAUGAUAAGGAAUGUUCUACCACGCCACUUUGAAGACUUGAACUGCUUACCCAAUUUUGUAUCGAACUUUUGUGUGGGGUCAUUUGGCAAUGGUGAGACUCUUAAACAACCACUAAAUGGACAUCGAUAUUUAAGCUUCUUGGCCUUCCAAAUUGGGGUUCUAGUAUACCCUUUUGGAAGGACAAACUCCAAAAUGUAAGAAUCUUCCUCCUCAUUUUCAAAAUUCAUCAUUUACUUGGGUGAUUCAACUUUUAUCACAUCCACCAAGCAUAAUGUUGAAAAGUGGUUCGAAUGAGGACUAACUCUCAAUUUUGUAGUAGCAUCCCUAUUAGUAUUUUUACCCCAAAAUGGACUAGAGUAUUCAUAAGGAUUGUGCUUGAUUUCUUCUUUUGACUCUAGUACCAUUUCCUCGUAUUUGGCAUCUUUAUUCAUAAAUGGUUCAGUUGGUUGGGAAAUCACCGAGGAUUGCUAAACAUCAAGCUCAUCAUCAACAUCGGAUUCUUUCUCCUCAUCAUCACACUUAUCUAUUAUGUUAAAUGAUUCCACAGACAAGAUAUCAUCUAAACAUACUAUGGAAAAGUGUUUUGAAUGCUUGACCUCUAUGUCCAUAUCCUCUAUCAUUCUUCUUUCAUCAUUAUUUGCCCUUAUGUGUUGAUGUAUAUCACGUAUGAUAUCAUUCGUUGUGUCUGCACACUUAAACAUUAGUUGAAGCAUAGCUUCAAUGCCAUGCUUUUUGGUGUUUUGUUUUUUCUGUUCUUGAUCAUAAGACCUAUCAAAAUCAUAAGAAGAACUAGAAUUUGGGUUAGCAUACUGCGCGGAGGGGGCAUUUGGGCAAUCACCUUAAUGUCCAUCUUGACCACCACAUAACGAACAAUCAUACUCCCGAUAGGAUGGAGAUAGUGCACAUAUCCCCCUUUGAGGAGCAUAUCAGGAAUGUCAUCAGCCACACUUCCAGUUCUCUUGCAUCAAUUUGCAGCUCUUUUGCUUCCAUUUCCUUAAAUUUCCCUUGCAUCAUGACUUUUACUGCAAUAUCAAAGUAAAGUAAUCAAAAACGACAAAAGUUUCUUAAGACUUUGCAAUUAUUCUCAGUUAAAAGCCUUAAAUAUUUUAGCGUCUGCUCACACAUCACUAACCCACCAGUAUUGGUUCUAUCAGAACUGGAAAAGCCUUUGCUGCUAUAUCUAUCUGUUCUGAAUAAUGCCUUUGGACAUGUGUUAGGUCAUCACGGCGAUAUAGGGUAGAAAGAGAAAGCCAUUUACUACCUCAAUAAUAAGUUCACACCAUAUGAAGCAAGGUAUACGUUGUUGGAGUGGACUUAUUACGCAUUGACUUGGGUCGCGCAAAUGGUAAGGCACUACCUAUCUGCGUAUACCACGUACUUAAUUUAAAGAAUGGAUCCACUCAAGUACAUUUUUCAGAAGCCAAUGCCUACUGGAAAAUUGACAAAAUGGCAGAUUUUGUUGAGCAAGUUUGAUAUUAUGUACGUAACACAAAAGGCCAUCAAAGGACAAGCUUUAGCUGAUCACCUGACAGAAAAUCCUGUGGAUCAAGAUUGCAUGUCGCUCAGUACCUACUUUCUUGAUUAAAAAGUGUUGUUUACAGGGAAGACAUCUCUGAGAGGUAUGAUGGGUGAAAAAUGUUCUUUGAUGGAGCAGUGAACUUAAAGGUGUUGGAAUUGAAGCAGUUCUAGUUUCAAAAAUAGAUCAACAUUACCCAAUCUCGGCGAAGAUUAGGUUUCCUUGCAUGAAUAAUAUUGAAGAAUAUGUGGCUUGCAUUCUCUAACUUAGGAUGGAAGUAGACAUGGACAUCAAAGAGCUUUUGGUAAUGGGAGAUUCGGAUUUGCUGAUCCAUCAGGUGCAAGGGGAAUGGACCACAAAGAAUGUCAAAAUCCUUCCUUAUGUGCAAUAUGUCAAGGAGUAAAAUCCUUCCUUAUGUGCAAUGUGUCAAGGAGUUGAGUAAAAGGUUCACGAUGAUUGAGUUCAAGCAUGUCCUUCGAAUUCAAAAUAAGUUUGCUGAUGCCUGGGCGACACUAUCUUCAAUUAUUCAGCAUCCAAAUAAGAAUUACAUCGAUCCCAUCAAAGUAGAGAUACACAAUCAACAAGCAUACUAUUUCUAUGUAGAUAAAGAGCUAGAUGGAAAGCUAUGAUACUAUGACAUCAAGAGGUUACUCGAAGCAAGAGAAUAUCCAGAAGACGUUACUGGAAAGUAGAAGAGGGCUUUAAGAAGGAUGGCCAAUCACUUUUUUCUCAAUGGGGAAAUCCUAUAUAGGAGGACUCCAUACCUAAGAUUGCUGCGAUACGUCAAUGCCAUAGAGGCCAAAAGAUUAUUGGAGGAGAUACAUGCAGGAAUGUGUGGACCGCACAUGAACAGUUUCAUGCUUGCAAAGAAUAUUUUGAGAGCUGGAUACUUUUGGAUGACCAUGGAGAGGAAUAGCAUUUGAUAUGUGCAGAAGUGUCAUCAAUGUCAAGUUCAUGAAGACCUUAUACGAGUUUCGCCAAACGAGCUCAAUGUGAUGGGUUUUUCUUGGCCGUUUGCUUCUUGGGGCAUAGAUGUUAUUGGGCCUAUAAAGCCUCCUGCGUCCAAUCAACACCGUUUUAUCUUGGUCACUAUUGAUUACUUUAUGAAGUGGGUUGAGGCAUCAACACAUAAGGCCAUAAACAAGAAGGUGGUAUAAGAUUUUAUCCGUAACAACUUAGUCUGUCAGUUUGGAAUUCCAAAAUCAAUCAUAACAGAUAAUGGAGCCAAUAUUAAUAGCGACCUGAUGAGAGAGAUUUAUGAAAGUUUUAAAAUCUCUUAUCAAAAUUACAUGGCAUAUCAACCGUAAAAGAAUGGAGUGGUCGAAUCUGCAAACAAGAAUAUCAAGAGGAUCUUAAGAAAGAUAGUGGACGGUAAUUGGGAAUGGCAUGAGAAGUUGCCAUAUGCUUUACUUGUACAUCAUACCACAAUCAAAACUUCUACUGGGGUAACUCUCUAUAUGUUGGUUUAUGGUUCAGAAGCAGUGAAACCUGCAGAAGUUGAGAUACCUUCAUUAAGAAUCAUCCAGGAGGUUGGUCUAGACGACGCUGAAUGGAUUCGUAGCAGGAUCGAGCAGUUGAUGCUCAUUGAUGAGAAAAGAUUGGAUGCAGUCUAUCAUGGUCACCUUUAUCAAAAUAGAAUGAUCAAGGCAUUUAACAAGAAAGUCAAGCCUCAUCGAUUCAAGCCAAGAAAAUUAGUAUUGAAGAAGAUAUUCCCUCACCAAUAUAAAGCCAAUGGGAAAUUUGUGCCAAAUUGGCAAGGCCCUUACAUAGUUCACCGAGUACUUUCAGGAGGGGCAGUGAUCCUUGCAGAAAUGGAUGUCAUAGUGAGCACGAAGCCGAUCAAUUCAGACUCCAUCAAGAAGUACUAUAUUUGAAGACAGUAGGAUUAGUUGUCAUUUCUUUGUACUUUCGCAUUUUUUCUCUAAUGUAACAGAACCAUGUAUUAGCCUGACUUCCCACGGCGAGAGAAGUAGGCAGCCCACAUCGGGUUUGAUUUCCUUAGAAAACUCAAAACAUCAUCCUUCCAUGUAUUCAGAACUACGCUCGACCUGACUUCCUACGAUGGGAUACGUAGGCAAUUCUCAUCAAAUUCGGUCCCUUCAUAUUUUUACCUUUUCAUUGUACUGAACUAUGACCUAACCUGAUUCCAAUUGGAUACGUAGGCAGCCUAAGUCAGGACCAGUCAUUGCAUUAUUUUACUUUAUCUUUUGUAUCGAACUACAGUAUGACCUGAUUUCUAUUCUUAGGAUACGUAGGCAGCCUGAGUCGGGAUCGGUCACUGAACUGCAUAUUUUCACUUUUCUUAUUGUAAUUGAACUACAUCAUGAUCUGAUUCCACUUGGAUACGUAGGCAGUCUGAGUCAGACUCGGUCCUUGUAUUACAUAUUUCCUUCUACACCUUCGAACUACAUAUAGACCUGAUUCCUAUUUUAAGAAUACGUAGGCAGCCUAAAAGGUUAGGUCUUAACUUUAAGGAAAUCCCAUAUCGCUCAUAGUAUAGCAUCAGAAUAUAAGAGAUCUCGCCACCAGAACCAUCGUAGCAUCAACAUUCAAAGAAGCUCCACCCGAAGGAUAAAGCUACAUGGAUCAGAAUCAACAAAUGGAGGCUUAACGGAUUUCCGAAUGUGUCAUAAUCUAAAGUGAUUAAGGAUUUCUAUAUAUACUUAAUAUAUACGUAAUGUAUUUGCGAAAACAUAUAUAUAUAUAUGUAUUUUCACUAUACUUUCACAACUUUUCCACCUACUGAGACUCCACAUUUGGGACUUAUCGAGCAACUAAGGGAGUGUUGGAGAAUUCCGCAAACAAAGCCAGGAUCCCCAAGUCGACACAAAUCAACACCCCCUUCCAACUAAGAAUUUUUUCUUUGGGCAUAGGAAAACAGGAAUUAGAAGACGACAUCAAGUCAAGCUUUAGAAUAGGAUCAGGGGCAUCAUGCUGCUUACCACCACGACAUAAGCCCAAUAUUAUUCCCUUACUUCAUUUUCUUUACAUAGAUUUAUGCUAAUCCUCACAAACUCUAAGAAUUUUAUUCGAAUUCUUUCACAGUACAUUCUUAAGACCUGGGUCAGAAACGAAGAAAAGAGGAUUCUCAUAGAAAGAUUAGGCUAUUUACUUCCCACAAUAAACUCCGCAAUUGGAGCUAACCACCUGACUGCGUUGAAUAACUUCACCAAUCGAAGAAUCAUCAUCUAACUGCGUCAAAUAACUCCGCCAAUUGGAGAAUGUUGUCGGACUUUAACGAAGUCAAGUUUCUACGUUCCGAGGUUUGUACAUAAGAAAAUAAAGUCAAGCUUCUGCUUUUUGAAGACUGUACAUAAGCAAGAAAAAUGACCCUCUGCCAUAUCAGAGGAUGUGAAUGAGCAAUACGAAUCUUCGCCAUAUCGAGAGUUAUGCACCAACAAAGGAGAUGCCCCGCCAUAAAUCAACGAAUAUAAAUAAAAAAAGCAACACCUCGCCAUAUCGAAGAAUCGUAUUUCAGCAAACAAAGAACAACUUGCUUAUCAGAGACCCACUCCAUAGCAAGCGCGUAAGAAAGCCACUAUCACAGCAACAUCAAGUUCCAAUAGUGAUACAAUCAUUUAGUUCAUACUGAAGGUCGUGUUGCCAAUAUAAGGCAGUUUACCUAUGGAAAAAUAUCCCGCCGUUGGAUGCUUUACUUUUCAAACAAUGUUCGCCAGUUAGAUGCUAUUUACUUUUCAACAAAUGCUCAACCGACGGAGGCUAUUUACAUUUCGAUCAAUGAAGUCUAUUUACAUUUCAGCUGACGGAGGCUAUUUACAUUCAAGCAGCUGCUCAGCCGACGAAGGCUAUUUACAUUUCAGUCGAUGGAGGCUAUUUAUAUUAUUGUUUAGUCGAUGGAGGAUUUUACUUUCUAGUAGCUGCUCAGCCGACAUAGGCUAUCUAUAUUUCAGCCGACAGAGGCUAUUUAUAUUUCAAUCGAUAGAGGCUAUUACAUUUUAAUUGAUGAAGGCUAUUUACGUUUCAGCCGGUGGAGGCUAUUUAGAUUUCAGUUAAUGCCCCGCUAGUCGGAGGCCUCCACAAAUGGAGACAAUACUAGUUUGAAUGUCUGAACUCUACUCUUUACAUUACAAUUUAAAUUUACAAUUUUUUGAACAACAGGUACUUUUUACCCUUUUACCUAUUUUGCAGGAACAUGUAAUACAACGCGGAACUACCCUCUUAGCAGUAAACUGGGGCAAGCUAGCAGAAUGUCAAGCAUCCCUAGCUACGUCAAGGAUUCUGGCGAAGAAACUCAACUUGACUCGAAGUUUUCAUUUUUAUAAUUUUUAGUUCCAUAACCCAGCGCCAUCUUAAUCCGACACUGGAAAAUUUUUGAAAAUCCACAAUCUCCUUCUCUCUCAAAAUCAUCAACGGAUAUUUUAUCCAAUGUUUCCUUAUCCCAACUAUUUUGAGCAGCCAAUUUCGGGACUUACAUCUGUAUCUUUUGUAUUCGUGCUGAAAUCUUUAUUAUCCUCCUCAAAGAACCCGGUGUCACCAUAAUUCUAUACUGGGGCAAAUUUUGAGGUUCAUCAAACUUUGCUAUAAUUCGAAAUACAAAUGGCCUGAUUUCUCGUGAAGCCCGAGAUAUGUAGAAAGCUCGAAAACUAAAGCCCGACCAUAAUCUUUCAAACAUUUUGUUUUGCCCGAGACAAAAUUGAUUACGUCAACGUGAUUGCCCAAAGAUUUUCACACAAAUCUUCAAUCACUCAGGGAAACUGUUGACAGCUAAUUUUGGCUCUCACUUUUUCCUUUAACUAUUUUACCGAUGCUCCUCGGCCCUAAAUAAUUUUCAAAAAUUAACUAAAAAAGGAUUUGUAUUUUUGUUUCUAUUUCUACAAAUUUAAUGAAAGGGGGAUUUAUUUUUCUAUUAUAAUAUAAAAUAUUUUAACGAAUAUAAAAAUAUAUAUAUCUUUGAUAUUCGCAUUCACAUUCUUUCUAAUAUUUUAUUUUAGGGAGAUAUUGUGACCAUAUAUAUAUAAAUAUUCUAAUUACAUAAAAUAUAUAUUAUAUAAGAUGUACAUAUACUUUCUCUUAUUCUUGUUUUUAUAUAUUAUAUUCUUGUUUUUACAUGCACAUAUAUAUAUGCAUAUAGUUUGUUAAUAUUAAAUUGCAAAAAGAUAUUAAAUUGGACGCUUUAAGAAUUAUGUGUAUAAUUUAUAUAUGUUAAACUAAAAAAUAAUUUUUAGGAUAUCAGGAAGCAUCGAUAAAUUUAAUUUCAGCAGAAAAAAAGCAUUUGGGCUAACGAUAAUCCGAUUUCAUUUUUUUUGUUUCACCCGAACCCAACUCUUAUUUUAUGAAUUUCAGCCAAGAGCCUAAAAACUAGUAUAAUUCCUAUGUCUGCUUUGCCAUUCCACCUCAACAGAUACAAUUUAAUCUGAUUUAUUAAUUUAUUUUGAACCUGAAGGAUCCCAAAAUUUCUAGUUAUUUUUAUAUGUAGAUAUAUAAUUUAUUUUUUAUUUGUUUAACUGUCUAUUCAUAUAUAUAUAUAUAUAUAUAUAUUAUCUUUCCCCCUUCUUUUUUAAUUAGAUUUGAACCGUUCGAACGGAUCGAAAAAAGUCAUUUUAAAAUCAACCUUUCACAUAUUUACUCGUAUAUGCAUACAUUUUUAUUUUUCUUAUUUUGUUGCUAUUAUUAUUUUUAAGGGUAAUCACUUCAAAAUCGUCCGAUCUUUCAAACCCAAUCCAAAAACACCCGACUAGCACAGAUUAAUCUAGUCUGCAAAUUUUUCUUUCUAAUCCGAGGUUCCCGAAUUUUUAAAUGUUUAUAUAUAUAUAUAUAUAUAUAUAUAUAUUAAAAUUAUAAUUUACCUUUUUAUAUAUUUUUAAAAUUUAAACUAUUCUAAUCAAAAUCAAACAGAUCAGAAAUUAAUUGAUUUUAAAUUAAUUUUUUCAUAAUAUUUAUUUAUAUAUACGCAUAUAUAAAUAUUUGUAUAGUUAUUAUUUUAAGAUGAUGUUUUAAGAUCGGACGAAUCAAAAUUGAUCAAGAUUUUGAAAGAAUAGUGCAUUAAAUGCACAACUACCGCGUCUCCCAAAAAUUAGAAUAAGCGUAUGGUUUCUUCCAAAACAGUCAUUAACACCUCUCUUUCAUAUUCCCCCAAAUAAAUGUAGAAAAUACAGGAGCCUUUUUCUCUCUCCUUUUUUCUUUUUCUCCAUCAUACUAAAAACGCAGCCCUAGCACUGCCAUGGCUGUCGCUCCUAUGCAGGAAUCUCCUCAAAAUCGCCUCCCUUAACUCUCUAAAACCAAAAAUCAGAAAAGAAGAAGCACCAAAUUCAUGUAAAGAUGGAAAAUCGGUCCAAGGCUGCCAUUAAUGGCUUCAAAGUUGUGAGGAUUCGUUUCAAUAUUUUGAAAUCAAAUUCUCCUUCUUCUUCCCAAUUUUUUCAUUUUGAAUUUUCCAAUUUUGACUUUCAAGUCCGGAUUUGUACCUAUAAAUACAGUGUCUCUAUUUCCAUGGGGGGAUAAGAAAAGAGAGAGUAAAAAUUUGAGAGAAAAGCAAGUUUCAAAGAGGUAUAUCGAAUCUGUGGGGAAAGUAAGAAUAAUUGGGAAUUUCAAGUUCUAAAAGAGAGAAAAGAAAAAUGGAGUGAGGAGAUUUGGUCUUCCUUUUGAUUUUCAAAAUACAAGUUUAGGGAAUAGGUUCGGAUCAACUUCUGAAAAAAAGAAUUUUUUUCUUUUCAAAAUUGUUACUUCUUUCUGAUUUUGGGUCAAGUCGGAGUCCGAUAGUUGCGUUAUUUGUUGCCGAAAAAUCCUCAUCGUCGAACUUUGUUUUAAAUAUAUUAAAUUUCACAUUUAUAAUUGAAGUGAUCAGUNNNNNNNNNNNNNNNNNNNNNNNNNNNNNNNNNNNNNNNNNNNNNNNNNNNNNNNNNNNNNNNNNNNNNNNNNNNNNNNNNNNNNNNNNNNNNNNNNNNNNNNNNNNNNNNNNNNNNNNNNNNNNNNNNNNNNNNNNNNNNNNNNNNNNNNNNNNNNNNNNNNNNNNNNNNNNNNNNNNNNNNNNNNNNNNNNNNNNNNNNNNNNNNNNNNNNNNNNNNNNNNNNNNNNNNNNNNNNNNNNNNNNNNNNNNNNNNNNNNNNNNNNNNNNNNNNNNNNNNNNNNNNNNNNNNNNNNNNNNNNNNNNNNNNNNNNNNNNNNNNNNNNNNNNNNNNNNNNNNNNNNNNNNNNNNNNNNNNNNNNNNNNNNNNNNNNNNNNNNNNNNNNNNNNNNNNNNNNNNNNNNNNNNNNNNNNNNNNNNNNNNNNNNNNNNNNNNNNNNNNNNNNNNNNNNNNNNNNNNNNNNNNNNNNNNNNNNNNNNNNNNNNNNNNNNNNNNNNNNNNNNNNNNNNNNNNNNNNNNNNNNNNNNNNNNNNNNNNNNNNNNNNNNNNNNNNNNNNNNNNNNNNNNNNNNNNNNNNNNNNNNNNNNNNNNNNNNNNNNNNNNNNNNNNNNNNNNNNNNNNNNNNNNNNNNNNNNNNNNNNNNNNNNNNNNNNNNNNNNNNNNNNNNNNNNNNNNNNNNNNNNNNNNNNNNNNNNNNNNNNNNNNNNNNNNNNNNNNNNNNNNNNNNNNNNNNNNNNNNNNNNNNNNNNNNNNNNNNNNNNNNNNNNNNNNNNNNNNNNNNNNNNNNNNNNNNNNNNNNNNNNNNNNNNNNNNNNNNNNNNNNNNNNNNNNNNNNNNNNNNNNNNNNNNNNNNNNNNNNNNNNNNNNNNNNNNNNNNNNNNNNNNNNNNNNNNNNNNNNNNNNNNNNNNNNNNNNNNNNNNNNNNNNNNNNNNNNNNNNNNNNNNNNNNNNNNNNNNNNNNNNNNNNNNNNNNNNNNNNNNNNNNNNNNNNNNNNNNNNNUUAGUGCUCUACUUGAUUUUGCUUGACUUUUGAUUCAAAGGAAAAGGUGUGGAGCUUAAAUAACUCACUCAGAAUGCUUUUUAAAAGAUUACGUGGUACAAUUAGGUCAAAUAAACCCUUUUGGAAUAAGUAUUCAGCUACUUGUGAACCUUCGGGUACUGUUUUAUUCAAUGUUUGUUCAAUUACUCUUUUACCUGCAAAUGCAAUGUAGGCAUUGGGUUCGGCAAUAAUGAUAUCCCCCAACAUACCAAAACUAGCUGUCACUCCACCAGUUGUCGGAGAUGUAAGGAUUGAUACAUAAAAUAAUUUUUUAUUUAAUUGAUAAUCAUAUAAAGCAGACGAUAUUUUAGCCAUUUGCAUCAAGCUCAAACUUCCUUCCUGCAUGCGCGCCCCCCCAGAAGCACACACUAUAAUAAGAGGUAAAAUUUGAUUGGCAGCGUGUUCAAUCAAACGGGUGAUUUUCUCUCCGACUACGGAUCCCAUACUACCCCCCAUAAACUGAAAAUCCAUAACCCCAAUUGCUACGGGAAUGCCGUUUAUUUGGCCUAUGCCUGUUUGAACAGCCUCGGUUAAUCCUGUCUUUCUUUGAUAAGAAUCAAUACGAUCUUUAUAAGGCUCCUCUUCCGAAUGAAAUUCAAUGGGAUCCAGAGAGACCAUGUCUUCAUCCAUAGGAUCCCAAGUACCCGGAUCGACCAAAAGUUCAAUUCUAUCCGAACUACUCAUUUUCAAAUGAUAUCCACAUUGUUCACAAAUAUUCAUUUUUGAUUUAAAAAAUUUCUUAUAAUUUAAUCCAUAACAAUUCUCGCAUUGAACCCACAAAUGCCUGUAUUUUUGAGUUACCUCGAGAUCAUUAGAACUUUCUCUUAUAGUUAAAUCACUGCCAUUAGUUAAAUCACUGCCAAUAGUUAAAUCACUGCCAUUAGUUAAAUCACUGCCAAUAGUUAAAUCACUGCCAUUAGAACUUUCUCUUAUAGUUAAAUCACUGCCCUUUGUGCGAGUUUGUAUACUGGAACCCUCGUUUUCACUACUAUUUUUACUUUCACCACCACAAACGGCCCUAUAAAUGUAACUGUCACUGUAAUUCUCACUACCACUUAUAAUGGAAGUAUCUAUACAGAUUUGAGACUGAAGAUAAUUAUCAAUGCAACUAUUAAUGUGAUUAUUCCAACUAUAUUGAGUAUCAUACAUGUAAGAAUUAUAGUAGGGAUCUUCGCCCCUAAAUCCAUUAUUCAGAUAACUCGAGUUUCGAUAACUAUAAAAAGAACUUUCUAGUUCACUCAGAAAAGAAUGAUCGUUGUCAAUCUCAAAAAUCUGAUUUUCAAUAUCAAAAUAGAUGGAAUAACUGUCUCCAUUCCUAUCACUAACUACAAAAGUGUCAUCAGAGAUGAAAUUCCGAAUGUCUUUAACGCCGAAUAAAUAAUCAACAUUACUGCAACUAGGAAUGUUUUUCACUUUUCGAUUUGGAUCUUCACUGGUAUUUUCAAUAGGACCAAGACUGCCCAUUGAUUUAUUUAGCCCACACCUGCGUUCGAACUCCUUCUUAAACAACAUCGAAUUAAACCACCAUCUUUCCAUAGAGUUUUCUUGCCCCCUAUUUGCAUGAAAAUACAAUAGAUGAAUAGUCAUUCGCUAUAAAAUUAUUUAUUUGAAUAUCUUAUUUCCUAUCAGACUAAGCAUAGAAAUCCAAUCACUAGGAUUAUUAGUAGGAUUAUUAGUGAGUAUUGAAAAAAAGUUCUGAAUCUGGGGGAACACUUCACUAUAUAUUAAUAUGUCGGAACCCCCUUUUAUUAUUUUAUUAUUAAAAAUAAUAUAAAUAUAAUAAUAUAAUUUUUGAUAAGGGGCGGCUUCUCCUAUGUCGUGUCAAAUUCGCAUCGAAAAAAAGAGAUUUGUCCUCUCCUAUACUCCUAUAAAGAAAUCAAAAAAAUUUUCUUAAAAUCUCGUCUAAUACUAAUAUCUAAUCACUAACUAAUCUAAAAUCUAAUAAAAUAAUAAGUAAUAAAUUAAGCUUCCAUUUCAACACGGAACGGAACAAAGGGGACAAUAUACAGGAUGGGUAGAAAGAGUUGUGCUACUUGGCUUGAUUCAGGGAAACUACAAACUACAGGAUAGAAAAAAAUAUACCAAUCCUAAGAAUCCGUAGGAUUUAUUGUGGAUCCAAGACAACAAUAGAAAGAUUUGAGUCUUAGAUUUUUAUUUAGUUUUCUAGAUUUUGUAUUUCAAAUCUUUUAUAUCUAGGUAAGUAUAUACUUAGUCAAAAUAGUUGUAUUCGGCUCAAUCCUUUUAGUAAAAGAUUGGGCCGAGUUUAAUUGCAAUUCAAUUAAGAGAAUGAAGGAUAAUUACUUGAGUUCUUUCUCCUUAUUCUUUGUUAUUUCCUGCUAAUUUAUCUGCUAAUGUCUACUAUUUUUACUUAUCCAAAACGUCCACUACUGCAAAAUUAAAUACGAUCUCUUUCCAUACCUUACAAGAAGCAGCUAGUUCCGAGCUCCAUUUGGAAGCCUCGUGAAUAAUCUCAUUACCUUCCCGAGCAAGAUCGCGUCCUUCAUUACGAGCUUUUACACAUGCUUCUAGAGCUACUCGAUUAGCUACGGCCCCUGGCAUAUUACCCCAAGGAUGUCCUAAAGUUCCUCCACCAAACUGUAGUACAGAAUCAUCCCCAAAGAUCUCGGUCAGAGCAGGCAUAUGCCAAACAUGAAUACCUCCUGAAUCCACAGGUAGAACACCUGGUAAAGAGACCCAAUCUUGAGUGAAAUAAGUACCGCGAGUUCGAUCUUGUUCAAUAAAAUCAUCACGCAAUAAAUCAACAAAGCCCUAAGUUAUGUCUCUUUCACCUUCAAGUUUAACUACUACGGUACCAGCGUGAAUAUGAUCUCCACCAGACAUACGUAACGUUUUUGCUAAUACCCAGAAGUGCAUACCAUGAUUCUUCUGUCUAUCAAUAACCGCAUGCAUUGCACGGUGGAUGUGAAGAAGUAGACCAUUAUCUCGGCAAUAAUGAGCCAAGCUAGUAUUUGCGGUGAAUCCCCCCAUUAAGUAGUCAUGCAUUACGAUCGGAACGCCCAAUUCUCUAGCAAAUACAGCUCUUUUCAUCAUUUCUUCGCAUUUACCUGCAGUAGCAUUCAAGUAAUGCCCUUUGAUUUCACUUGUUUCAAUCUAUGCUUUAAAAAUUGCUUCGGUACAAAAUAAGAAACAAUCUCUCCAAAGCAUAAAUGGUUGUGAGUUCACGUUCUCAUCAUCUUUGGUAAAAUCAAGUCCGCCGUGAAGACAUUCAUAAACAGCUCUACCAUAGUUUUUAGCAGAUAACCCCAAUUUAGGUUUAAUAGUACAUCCCAACAGGGGACGACCGUACUUGUUCAAUUUAUCUCUUUCAACUUGGAUCCCAUGAGGCGGACCUUGGAAAGUUUUAAUAUAAGCAGUAGGGACUCGCAGAUCUUCCAGACGUAGAGCGCGCAGGGCUUUGAACCCAAAUACAUUACCUACAAUGGAAGUAAACAUGUUGGUAACGGAACCUUCUUCAAAAAGGUCUAAAGGGUAAGCUACAUAAGCAAUAUAUUGAUCUUUUUCUCCAACAACACGCUCGAUGCGGUAGCAUCGCCCUUUGUAACGAUCAAGACUGGUAAGUCCAUCGGUCCAUACAGUUGUCCAUGUACCAGUAGAAGAUUCGGCAGCUACCGCGGCCCCUGCUUCUUCAGGUGGAACUCCAGGUUGAGGAGUUACUCGGAAUGCUGCCAAUAUAUCAGUAUCCUUGGUUUGGUACUCAGGAGUAUAAUAAGUCAAUUUGUACUCUUUAACACCAGCUUUGAAUCCAACACUUGCUUUAGUCUCUGUUUGUGGUGACAUAAAUCCCUCCCUACAACUCAUGAAUUAAGAAUUCUCACAACAACAAGGUCUACUCGACACGAAUUACGCGUUAAUGAAACUUUUCACAGGAAUCUUUCAGAAAAUUUCCAACUAAUACUAAUAUUAUCAAUUAAUCAGAAUGGUUGAUUAUUAGACCAUGGUAUUUGAUU